rnacentral:rRNA from 1 species
GUCCACGCCGUAAACGAUGGGUGCUAGGUGUGGGCGGUGUCGACUCCGUCCGUGCCGAAGCUAACGCAUUAAGCACCCCGCCUGGGGAGUACGGCCGCAAGGCUAAAACUCAAAGGAAUUGACGGGGGCCCGCACAAGAAGCGGAGCAUGUUGUUCAAUUCGACGCGACGCGAAGAACCUUACCAGGGCUUGACAUGCACUGGAAUGUCGUAGAAAUACGGCAGCCCUUCGGGGCUAGUGCACAGGUGGUGCAUGGCUGUCGU